rnacentral:rRNA from 1 species
CACUAUCGUUAACUGAAUACAUAGGUUAACGAGGCGAACCGGGGGAACUGAAACAUCUAAGUACCCCGAGGAAAAGAAAUCAACCGAGAUUCCCCCAGUAGCGGCGAGCGAACGGGGAGCAGCCCAGAGUCUGAAUCAGCUUGUGUGUUAGUGGAACGGUCUGGAAAGUCCGACGGUACAGGGUGAUAGUCCCGUACACCAAAAUGCACAGGUUGUGAACUCGAAGAGUAGGGCGGGACACGUGGUAUCCUGUCUGAAUAUGGGGGGACCAUCCUCCAAGGCUAAAUACUCCUGACUGACCGAUAGUGAACCAGUACCGUGAGGGAAAGGCGAAAAGAACCCCGGCGAGGGGAGUGAAAAAGAACCUGAAACCGUGUACGUACAAGCAGUGGGAGCACCUUCGGGUGUGACUGCGUACCUUUUGUAUAAUGGGUCAGCGACUUAUAUUCUGUAGCAAGGUUAACCGUAUAGGGGAGCCGCAGGGAAACCGAGUCUUAACUGGGCGUUAAGUUGCAGGGUAUAGACCCGAAACCCGGUGAUCUAGCCAUGGGCAGGUUGAAGGUUGGGUAACACUAACUGGAGGACCGAACCGACUAAUGUUGAAAAAUUAGCGGAUGACUUGUGGCUGGGGGUGAAAGGCCAAUCAAACCGGGAGAUAGCUGGUUCUCCCCGAAAGCUAUUUAGGUAGCGCCUCGUGAAUUCAUCUUCGGGGGUAGAGCACUGUUUCGGCUAGGGGGUCAUCCCGACUUACCAACCCGAUGCAAACUACGAAUACCGAAGAAUGUUAUCACGGGAGACACACGGCGGGUGCUAACGUCCGUCGUGAAGAGGGAAACAACCCAGACCGCCAGCUAAGGUCCCAAAGUCAUGGUUAAGUGGGAAACGAUGUGGGAAGGCACAGACAGCCAGGAUGUUGGCUUAGAAGCAGCCAUCAUUUAAAGAAAGCGUAAUAGCUCACUGGUCGAGUCGGCCUGCGCGGAAGAUGUAACGGGGCUAAACCAUGCACCGAAGCUGCGGCAGCGACACUAUGUGUUGUUGGGUAGGGGAGCGUUCUGUAAGCCUGCGAAGGUGUGCUGUGAGGCAUGCUGGAGGUAUCAGAAGUGCGAAUGCUGACAUAAGUAACGAUAAAGCGGGUGAAAAGCCCGCUCGCCGGAAGACCAAGGGUUCCUGUCCAACGUUAAUCGGGGCAGGGUGAGUCGACCCCUAAGGCGAGGCCGAAAGGCGUAGUCGAUGGGAAACAGGUUAAUAUUCCUGUACUUGGUGUUACUGCGAAGGGGGGACGGAGAAGGCUAUGUUAGCCGGGCGACGGUUGUCCCGGUUUAAGCAUGUAGGCUGGUUGUCCAGGCAAAUCCGGAUAAUCAAGGCUGAGGUGUGAUGACGAGGCACUACGGUGCUGAAGUAACAAAUGCCCUGCUUCCAGGAAAAGCCUCUAAGCAUCAGGUAACAUCAAAUCGUACCCCAAACCGACACAGGUGGUCAGGUAGAGAAUACCAAGGCGCUUGAGAGAACUCGGGUGAAGGAACUAGGCAAAAUGGUGCCGUAACUUCGGGAGAAGGCACGCUGGUGUGUAGGUGAAGCCCCUGCGGGUGGAGCUGAGACCAGUCGAAGAUACCAGCUGGCUGCAACUGUUUAUUAAAAACACAGCACUGUGCAAACACGAAAGUGGACGUAUACGGUGUGACGCCUGCCCGGUGCCGGAAGGUUAAUUGAUGGGGUUAUCCGUAAGGAGAAGCUCUUGAUCGAAGCCCCGGUAAACGGCGGCCGUAACUAUAACGGUCCUAAGGUAGCGAAAUUCCUUGUCGGGUAAGUUCCGACCUGCACGAAUGGCGUAAUGAUGGCCAGGCUGUCUCCACCCGAGACUCAGUGAAAUUGAACUCGCUGUGAAGAUGCAGUGUACCCGCGGCAAGACGGAAAGACCCCGUGAACCUUUACUAUAGCUUGACACUGAACAUUGAGCCUUGAUGUGUAGGAUAGGUGGGAGGCUUUGAAGCGUGGACGCCAGUCUGCGUGGAGCCAACCUUGAAAUACCACCCUUUAAUGUUUGAUGUUCUAACGUUGGCCCCUGACCGGGGUUGCGGACAGUGUCUGGUGGGUAGUUUGACUGGGGCGGUCUCCUCCCAAAGCGUAACGGAGGAGCACGAAGGUUAGCUAAUCCUGGUCGGACAUCAGGAGGUUAGUGCAAUGGCAUAAGCUAGCUUGACUGCGAGCGUGACGGCGCGAGCAGGUGCGAAAGCAGGUCAUAGUGAUCCGGUGGUUCUGAAUGGAAGGGCCAUCGCUCAACGGAUAAAAGGUACUCCGGGGAUAACAGGCUGAUACCGCCCAAGAGUUCAUAUCGACGGCGGUGUUUGGCACCUCGAUGUCGGCUCAUCACAUCCUGGGGCUGAAGUAGGUCCCAAGGGUAUGGCUGUUCGCCAUUUAAAGUGGUACGCGAGCUGGGUUUAGAACGUCGUGAGACAGUUCGGUCCCUAUCUGCCGUGGGCGCUGGAGAAUUGAGGGGGGCUGCUCCUAGUACGAGAGGACCGGAGUGGACGCAUCACUGGUGUUCGGGUUGUCAUGCCAAUGGCACUGCCCGGUAGCUAAAUGCGGAAGAGAUAAGUGCUGAAAGCAUCUAAGCACGAAACUUGCCCCGAGAUGAGUUCUCCCUGAGACUUUAAGUCUCCUGAAGGAACGUUAAAGACGAUGACGUUGAUAGGCCGGGUGUGUAAGCGCAGCGAUGCGUUGAGCUAACCGGUACUAAUGAACCGUGAGGCUUAACCUU